rnacentral:rRNA from 1 species
CCCUAUGGGGUGCACCAGGAAAUUGCUUUUGAAUUUAUUAAACGCUGAAGAAUCACUUCAGUGUUUUACCAUCUCUUCAAAAACUUUCAUCAUCUCCUGAUGAUUUCUUCCUGCGGAAUACUCUUGGCCGGUAUGAUAAGAUUCUUUGGACAUUUCCCGGCGUUUAUCAUUAUCCAUGAGUAAUUUCAUUUUAUCGGCCAGUUCAGACGAAGCCGGUGGAUGGGCAAUGACGUAUCCGUUGGUUCCGUCGGUGAUAAGGCCGCAGGCACCGUUGCACGUGGUUGUGAUGGAAGGUAGACCGCUGGCCAUGGCUUCAAUAACGACCAGAGAACACGCGUCAUAGUAUGUGGGUAACACAAAGACAUCGCUGUUUGCGUAAUAUUCCUCAAUAGAUUUUAUUUUUCCUGUAAAGAUAACAUCUUUUUCAAGGUCAAGGCGUGUGAUAAGAUUGGAAAGCGCCCCGUAGGG